rnacentral:rRNA from 1 species
CCUGGUUGAUCCUGCCAGUAGUUUAUGUUUGUCACAAAGGUGAAGCCAUGCAUGUCUAAGUACGCAUGGCCAGUACAGUGAAACUGCGAAUGGCUUAUUAAAUCAGUUAUGGUUCCUUUGGUUGCUUGCUCCUCUCCUACUUGGAUAACUGUGGUAAUUCUAGAGCUAAUGCAUGCUGAUGGGUGCUGACCCCCUUUGUGGGAGGAUGCGUGCAUUUAUCAGAUCAAAACCAACCCCGUCAGCCUCCCUCCGGCCCCAGCUUCGGGGUGGGCCCUGGCGGCUUUGGUGACUCUAGAUAACCUCUGGCUAAUCUUGCACGCCCCCCUUGAUGGUGACAACCCAUUCAAACGUCUGCCCUAUCAACUUUUGAUGAUAGUUGCCAUGCCUAUCAUGGUGACCACGGGUGACAGGGAAUCAGGGUUCGAUUCCAGAGAGGGAGCCUGAGAAACGGCUACCACAUCCAAGGAAGGCAGCAGGUUACCCACUCCUGACACAGGGAGGUAGUGACGAAAAAUAACAUCACAGGACUCUUUCAAGGCCCUGUAAUUGGAAUGAGUCCACUUUAAAUCCUUUCCUGAGGGCAAGUCUGGUGCCAGCUGCCGUGCUAAUUCCAACUCCAAUAGCAUAUAUUAAAGUUGCUGCAGUUAAGAAGCGGGAGCGGGCAGUCCGCUGUGAGGCGAGCCACCGCCCGUCCCGCCCCUUGCCUCUCGGCGCCUCCUUGAUGCUAUUAGCUGAGUGUCCCACCACCCGAAGCAUUUACUUUGAAAAAAUUAGAGUGUUCAAAGCAGGCCCGAACCUCCUGGAUACCACAGCUAGGAAUAAUGGAAUAGGACCGCGGUUCUAUUUUGUUGGUUUUCGGAACUGAGGCCAUGAUUAAGAGGGACGGCCGGGGGCAUUCGUAUUGCGCCGCUAGAGGUGAAAUUCUUGGACCAGCGCAAGAUGGACCAGAGCGAAAGCAUUUGCCAAGAAUGUUUUCAUUAAUCGAGAACGAAAGUCAGAGGUUUGAAGACCAUCAGAUACCUUCCUAGUUCUGACCAUAAACUGGCGGUGCAGUGGCGUUAUUCCCAUGACCUGCUGGACAGCUUCUGGGAAACCAAAGUCUUUGGGUUCCAGGAGGAGUAUGGUUGCAAAGCUGAAACUUAAAGGAAUUGACGGAAGGGCACCACCAGGAGUGGAGCCUGAGGCUUAAUUUGACCCAACACGGGAAACCUCACCCGGCCCGGACAUGGACAGGAUUGACGGACUGAUAGCUCUUUCUCGAUUCCGUGGGUGGUGGUGCAUGGCCGUUCUUAGUUGGUGGAGCGAUUUGUCUGGUUAAUUCCGAUAACGAACGAGACUCUGGCAUGCUAACUAGUUAUGCGACCCCCGAGCGAUCAGCGUCCUCCAGCUUCUUAGAGGGAUGAGUGGUGUUCAGUUACCCGAGAUUGAGCAAUAACAGGUCUGUGAUGCCCUUAGAUGUCCGGGGCUGCACGCGCGCUACACCGACUGGCUCAGCGUGUGCCUAGCCUACGCUGGCAGGCGCGGGUAACCCAUUGAAUCCCAUUUGUGAUGGGGAUGGGGGAUUGCCAUUAUUCCCCAUGAGUGAGGAAUUCCCAGUAAGUGUGGGUCAGAAGCUUGCAUUGAUUAAGUCCCUGCCCUUUGUACACACCGCCUGUCGCUACUACUGAUUGGAUGGUUUAGUGAGGCCCUCCGGCCAUGCUGGGGUCGGCCCUGGUGGAGAGCUGAGAAGACUGUCAAACUUGACUAUCUAGAGGAAGUAAAUGUAGCAAGGUUUCCAUAGGUGAACCUGUGGAAG